rnacentral:rRNA from 1 species
UACAGGGGGUGCAAACGUUGCUCGGAAUCAUUGGGCGUAAAGCGCACGUAGGCGGUUCGUUAUGUCGGAUGUGAAAGCCCUUGGCUUAACCGAGGAAGUGCAUCCGAAACUGGCGAGCUAGAGUACGAAAGAGGAUCGCGGAAUUCCCGGUGUAGAGGUGAAAUUCGUAGAUAUCGGGAGGAACACCGGUGGCGAAGGCGGCGAUAUGGGUCGAUACUGACGCUGAGGUGCGAAAGCGUGGGGAGCAAACAGG